ACUCGGGGGUGCUCCCAGACGGGGGCUGAGAUGAUACCCAUUGAACCUGAUGCGGGUAAUGCCGACGAAGGAAUGUC
rnacentral:ncRNA from 1 species